UUGUUCCUACGGGGCGCAGCAGUGGGGAAUAUUGCACAAUGGGGGAAACCCUGAUGCAGCGACGCCGCGUGAGUGAAGAAGGAUUUCGGUAUGUAAAGCUCUAUCAGCAGGGAAGAAAAUGACGGUACCUGACUAAGAAGCCCCGGCUAACUACGUGCCAGCAGCCGCGGGAAUACGUAGGGGGCAAGCGUUAUCCGGAUUUACUGGGUGUAAAGGGAGCGGAGACGGCAUGGCAAG
rnacentral:rRNA from 1 species